UGGGGAAUUUUGCACAAUGGGGGAAACCCUGAUGCAGCGACGCCGCGUGAUUUAGAAGGCCUUCGGGUUGUAAAAAUCUUUUUUAUGGGAUGAAAAUGACAGUACCAUAAGAAUAAGGUCCGGCUAAAUACGUGCCAGCAGCCGCGGUAAUACGUAUGGACCGAGCGUUGUCCGGAAUCAUUGUGCGUAAAGGGUACGUAGGCGGCCCAGUAAGUUAGAAGUGAAAUAAUAUAGCUCAACUAUAUAAAGCUUUUAAAACUGCUAGGCUUGAGAGAUGGAAGGGAAAGUGGAAUUCCUAGUGUAGCGGUGAAAUGCGCAGAUAUUAGGAAGAAUACCGGUGGCGAAGGCGACUUUCUGGUCAUCAUCUGACGCUGAGGUACGAAAGCGUGGGUAGCAAACAGG
rnacentral:rRNA from 1 species